rnacentral:lncRNA from 1 species
CUCUGUCGGUUAAGCUUUAUUUCAUGAGCUCAUGAAGAAAUGCCACAAACAAACAUGACAGACUAGUCUAUUACACAAAUUCACUUAUUCACCACUAAAUCAUAAGGUUUCAUAACUUGUAAGCCAUAGCUCUUAAUUUGUGGUGAGGCCAUAACAGGCCCGUGGUGGUCCCGUGUCCCAGCUGGUAACGCCUCCUCCAUGGGGACAUCCUCACAUGCUGCCCACGUGUUCCUGCAGCCUCCCCAGCACUCCUUGCACCCGCUUCAGUACCUCCUCCUCAUCCACACUGUGGAAGGCCUCAGUGGGUGUGAUGGGGAAGGGAUGGCAACUCGGGUACUGUGUGGCUUUGCCAUCCGCCCCAUAGCCAUGCAACCACUCCACCUCCUCUGCCAGGCCACUCAACUUUGGCUCUGCCACCUCCAGCCACUGGGCCAGCCCCACCAGCCCUGUUGGGGCCUCAAAGGCUUUACCAUGGCAAAGUACAGCAGCCACCAGUGCCUUCUCCAGGGCCUGGUGCACCUUGAAAAGGACCCAGUUGUAGCACGAGCACCUGGUGUCAUUACGGGCUGCCUGAAGGUCACUCUCGGCCUGCCGCAGCCACCGCUGGGCUUCUGGGAUGGAUGGAGUCAGGGCCAUGGCUUCCCCAUGGCACAACCAGGAGACAUGGCCUUCCUGUUCCCAGCAGUGGUGCUGGGCAGCACUCAGUAACACCUUUGGCUGCUUGGUAGCACUCUGUAAGGUUGCCAUGCUGUGACCUGCAUUGCCCUUCACCUCUGGCAUCAGCCUGCGGCAAUCCUUCCGUGGCUUCCCCCUUGCCACAGCCUCCUCCUGCAGCCUCUUCUCCAGCACUGGUGCCAUGACCUCCUCUGGCUCCGGUGCAGCACCCACCAGUGCCACAUCAUUCUCCUCCAGAACAAGGGCCACAUCCCGUGGCUCCUGGCAGACCAGCAUUUCACGCAGCACUGACAAGGCGUGUGCUUCCAGCUGUCCACCCAGGAUCGUAUUGAUUUCCUGCGCUAGUGUCUCCAGGACCCUCAGCUGGUGCCGGUCC